ACGCUGGCGGCGCGCCUAACACAUGGCAAGUCGAACGGNGAAAGAGACAGCUUGCUGGAUCUUUCUUAGUGGCGGACGGGUGAGUAAUGCGUGAGCAACCUGCCUUUCAGAGGGGGACAACAGUUGGAAACGACUGCUAAUACCGCAUAACAUAUCGAGGGGGCAUCCCUUUGAUAUCAAAGGAGCAAUCCGCUGAAAGAUGGGCUCACGUCUGAUUAGUUAGUUGGUGAGGUAACGGCUCACCAAGACUGCGAUCAGUAGCCGGACUGAGAGGUUGAACGGCCACAUUGGGACUGAGAUACGGCCCAGACUCCUACGGGAGGCAGCAGUGGGGAAUAUUGGGCAAUGGGCGAAAGCCUGACCCAGCAACGCCGCGUGAAGGAAGAAGGUUUUCGGAUUGUAAACUUCUUUUAUGAGGGACGAAGAACGUGACGGUACCUCAUGAAUAAGCCACGGCUAACUACGUG
rnacentral:rRNA from 1 species